AGUGAACGCUGGCGGUAGGCCUAACGCAUGCAAGUCGAACGGCAGCACAGUAAGAGCUUGCUCUUACGGGUGGCGGGUGGCGGACGGGUGAGGAAUACAUCGGAAUCUACUUUUUCGGGGGGGAUAACGAAGGUAAACCUACGCUAAUACCGCAUACGACCUUCGGGGGAAAGCGGGGGAUCUUCGGGCCGUGCGGGAUUGGAUGAGCCGAUGUCGGAUUGGCUGGUUGGGGGGGUAAAGGCCAACGAAGGGGAGGAUCCGUAGCUGGUCUGAGAGGCUGAUACGCCACCCUGGAACUGGGACGCGGUCCAGGCUCCUGCGAGAGGCAGCAGUGGGGAAUGUUGGGCAAUGGUCGCGAACCUGAUCCAACCAUCCCGCGUGGGUGAAGGCGGCCUUCGGGUUGUAAAGCCCUUUUGUUGGUAGAGAAAAGCAGCAGGUUAAUACCCCGCUGUUCUGACGGUACCCAAAGAAUAAGCACCGGCUAACUUCGUG
rnacentral:rRNA from 1 species